GCAGCAGUAACAGAGGCGUCGCCAGCCAUGAAGGCCGCGCUCGUAACGAGUGUCCUCCUACUGCUGCUGCUGCUGGUACUGCAGGCGCCUGCGGAGGAGACCGACCACUGGGAGCGCCGCGAAGUGUGUACUCCUGGCGAUACGAUGACGGAAGACUGCAACGAUUGUUUCUGCAUCGACAGGGGACAAUGGAUGUGCACUCUCAGAAAAUGCGGCAAGCAGAAAAGACAGGCGAGAUGCCCGCCUGGGACUACGUUCCUGAGGAAGUGCAGCAGGUGCGUCUGUGACGAUGACGGAGAAACGGCCACGUGCACCAGGACAUGCCCUGGCAAGUAGAAUGGCGAGUACGGGCCUUCGCUGAUCCUACUCUGGAAGUUUAUGGAUAAAUCCUUCCAAUUUCUUCAAACACUUUUUCCAUGUGUUCACUGUAUUUUUUUAUGAAAACUUGGUCCUUGAUAUAAGACUUGAUCCUUGUGUUUAUCAGUGUAAUUGAUAUAGCAAUAAAAAAUACUUGGUUCAUA